CUGGCUGCCCCCUGGUGGCCGGAGGCCGUUACUGUCGCGGCUGAGGGGGCGUCCCGGUGUAUCCGCAGCGCGCCCUGUCCCGCCAUAUACAUUCCGUGCUUUUCAAACACCCGCCGUGGGCUAAGCAUGGGACCCACGUGGGGCGGGGACACACGGCGAUAAAGAGCCAGGCCCUCGCUGCCAAGGAGCUUUCCCGUAACACCGAUGCAUCAAACAAAAGAUAUUAAAGACAUUGGCGGUAACACUGGAAUGGAUGUGAAGAUGGGAGAGGUCUACCCAUAGCCCAUUCUACAGAGCAGAACUGAGGCUCAGAUAUUGAGGUAGAUUAAAGAUGGCUGCCAGUUCAGUGCCACUUGUCCCGUUGAACUGUGAAGUCUUAUCCCCCUCCUUGGGUCUGCACCAGCCUUGAUGACUUGCUCACUACAAUGUGGUAGAAGUGAUGGUGCAUGACUUCCAAGGUUAGAUCAGAAGAAGCCUUGAAGUUCCUGCCUUGGUCUCUUGAAACAACUUACCGUGUAAGAAGUCUGACACCCUGAGACCGCCAUGUUGGCACAGUUAUGGGUGGAUGCUCCAGUAGAUGGAUCCAGCUGAGCCCAGCCCUCCAGCCAUUCCCACCCCCAAACCAUGGGUGAAACUGUCUUGGACCCUCCAGUCCAGCCCACUCAACAUCUAAAUACCACAGACUGACCUCAGCUGAUACCAUCACCCAGUUAAAAUGUGCCUGAAACUGACCCACAAAAUCAUGAGAUAAACUAAAAUGGUUGUUGUCCUAAGCCACUAAGAUAAUAGAGCAGAUAUAUAUGCACUUAACACUC
rnacentral:lncRNA from 1 species